rnacentral:tRNA from 1 species
GGAGUGGUAGUUCAGUUGGUUAGAAUACCGGCCUGUCACGCCGGGGGUCGCGGCUUCGAGUCCCGUCCACUCCG